GUAUAAUGGAAAUAGAUUUUAAUCGCAGGCGCGUCAGUGGUUGAAUUAAAAUUCAUUUUCAUUUGCAG
ensembl:ncRNA mir-1014 mir-1014 stem loop